GAGAGUAUGUAUAGUGAAACGCAGUAAACGCGUAAUUUUCAUAUUCCACUGAAAUCUUUUCUUCGAACACAUCCAGGUUUGAUGUGUUACCAAGGAGCUUCAAUAUUGAUAAUAAAAAUUCAUCAAGCAUUUAUAACUUUCUUAAAGACUCCCAAUCAACUUGAGUUUACAUACGUUAUGUAUUCCAUGAUCUAUAAAGAUCGUCAUUAAGCUGAUUACUGACGUUCAGGGACCCUGGUAAUUGAAGAGUACCCAAAUACGCGCCUUAGACUUCAGGCGCGCAGCCGACAAGGCAGCUGUCAGAGGUCACUUAAAGGACAAGCAAAUAGCUGACAAAUAGGCAUCGUAAACGCCGGCCGUCUCAGCCAAAGCAUCGACGGACAACUCAGAUGACGUCUCAGUUAGCGAAUCAGCCGUGCAGCCGACAUUCCAGGCGACGCGUUGGUCAACAUCCCAGACGACGCGUCAGCCGAUAUUUUAGACAACGUCUUAAUCAGCGAAUCAGCCGACAUCUCAGACGACACGUCAGCCGACAUCUCAGAUGAAGUCCCAUUAAACGACACCUCAGCCAACGUCUGAGCAGCCGACGUCUCAGCCGACGUCUCAGCCGACGUCUCAGACGCCGUCCCAGGUGGGACGUCAUCUGCUCAUCAUUCAGUAGGACUAUACAGCGAGUCUGCCGUCCGAAGAGCGGGCAUUCGCUAAGAUGAAAAAGAGAAAAACUCUCAUUCAGUAUAGAUCUACAUAGCAAGUCUGCCGUCCGAAGAGCGGGCAUUCGCUAAGAUGAAAAAG
rnacentral:lncRNA from 1 species